AGCACCUAGACCUAACAAAAUGAAGUGAAUACCCAAAAUUGUAGUCAUUUUAUUUCUAUCUUUUCA
rnacentral:antisense_RNA from 1 species